UCGUUCGCUCUCUAUCUAAAUUGCAAGUAAACUAAUCUCCCUUGGAUUUUUAUGAAUAAAAAAGAAAAAAGCCCUUCAAGAAGUCGGAUAAAUGGAAUUAACCGCUCCACAACUCUCAGCUCUUUAUAGUGUGAAGAACUCACCGUAUCUACAAAGUAACACAUUCUAAAUGAGAUGAUUUGAUUCAAGAGUGUGCAAGAUAAUCUUAUUAAUGUUUUUUUUUUAAGGGAAGCUCUAACUGAUACAUGAGGUUGUUUCAAAUGAAAACAUUGGUAAAGCCCAGCAACGGAACUCUGUUUACAGUGACUCUUUCUUUUGCACUUUAAAGUAUGGACAUCUAUGUUACUGUAAAAUGUGAAACUGAAUUGUAGUGAUGUCAGUGACCCACAGAAACUAUGAUUACAAGUUUUCAGUUCCUAUCAUACAACAAUGAAGUGAACUAACUGUUCUACUAAUAAAAGGGAGAUGGAAAAAAAAGCAUUUGUGAAGAUGUUGUCUCUGUUCAUCUUUUAUAUAUAACUAAAUAAAUUGAUGCGAAAAUUAA